UACGAGGGGGGCAAGCGUUGCUCGGAAUUACUGGGCGUAAAGGGCGCGUAGGCGGCACUGUUAGUCAGGCGUGAAAGUCCUGGGCUCAACCUGGGAACUGCGCUUGAUACGGCAGAGCUAGAGGAUGGAAGAGGGUCGCGGAAUUCCCAGUGUAGAGGUGAAAUUCGUAGAUAUUGGGAAGAACACCGGUGGCGAAGGCGGCGACCUGGUCCAUUACUGACGCUGAGGCGCGACAGCGUGGGGAGCAAACAGG
rnacentral:rRNA from 1 species